UGGUGCAUGUGACUAUGGGAUCACUGGUGACCUACUAUCGUCCGAACCUAAGCACAAAACAUCUAAUAUAAAGAAUAUUAUAUUAGUUAGCAAAAGAUAAAAUAACAUAAAUGAGAGUAUCUAAAGUGUUAUAGUUUACCGUGAAAUGUGAGAGGUGCAGAACCCUACGAGCUGACCGCAUGAUCGCUCUCUCCUUGAGAGCUCUAUCCUCUGCUGGU
rnacentral:lncRNA from 1 species